GCAGCAUCACAGUAUUUAUUCACUGAAAUGAUUUUAUUGGUUGUUUUAUUUUUCUUCUUUCAGACUUGAUUUGUCUAAUUAUUUCUUUUCGCACAAUCAGUUUUCUCUCGAUAAGCCACAUUUAUAUUCCACUGAAAUCCUUCAAUAUUUCUCCUUUUUCUUCCCCAAAAUUCCUUGCUUCCUAUACUGUCUCAGAAAGUGUUGAAUAAGCUGCAUCUUUUUUACUUCUAGUACCUUUGUACUCCUUGUAUCUAUGCUUCACAAAGAUGCCGGACACCUUGUGUCUUCAUGCCUCAUGACUUUGCUAGUUCCUUCUUACUGCCUGGAAAGCCAUUCCCACAUUUCUUUCUUUGACUACUUCCCAUACAACCUUAAGACUCAACUGAGGCUUUGUCUCAUGGUAGAUUUCAGAGUCUCCCUAUGGACAGAGUGUCACUGCUCUUGACCUCUUAACACCUGUACACUUCCAUGAUGACAGUGCAAGGGGCUAUUAAUUGGGCCAGGCGCAGUGGCUCACGCCUGUAAUUCCAGCAUGUUGGGAGGCCGAGGUGGUCGAAUCACAAGUUCCGGAGAUCAAAAGCAUCCUGGCUAACACAGUGAGACCUCGUUUCCACUAAAAAUACCAAAAAUUAGCCAGGUGUGGUGGCAAGCGCUUGCAGUCCCAGCUACUCGGGAGGCUGAGGCAGGAGAAUUGCUUGAACCCAGGAGACGGAGGUUGCAGUGAGCGGAGAUCGUGCCACUACACUCCAGCCUGGGUGACAGAGUGAGACUCCGUCAAAAAAAAAAAAAAAAAAAAAAAAAAGCUUCCUUCUUACGAGAACAUGAGGAUCCUUGGACUGAAAAGGUCCAGAGAAUGAAGGGAAAAUCUAUACAAAAACACAUUAUAGUGAAACUGAAGAAUAUAAUGAACAAAAAUACUCUGUAAGCCUUCGGUAAUGAGGAAUAGAUCACCUACAAAGAUUCAAGAAUCAAAUUGAAAGUGAAUCUCUAUAUCAAAACUGCCUGAAGCAGGACAAUGGAGUUAUUUUUAUAUAAUGUUGGUCCAAAGUUCCAUAUCAAUUGCAAAACCAAAAAAAAUUUUCAAUGGAAAGUUUUGACUUAUUUUGUGAGUGUGCUAGAAACAAUAAGUUCGUCUUCAAACUUUCCUGUUCUUUCCUGUUCUGUAAACAACCCUUCCUUCCUUUGCCGCCCCAGACAUGCCUUCCCGCCUAAUUGGUACAGGACAGUGUCUUCCUUCCCGCCUAAUUACCCCUAUAGAAUUUAAAGCAGUAGCCAAUCCGGUCAGCUUAGAAUGUGCAUUGUGACUGACGCAGGCAGCACCCUUCUGUAGAAGCAAAUAUGCUUUGCUGAGAAAUUUCCUGUUUAAGUGCUGGUUUUUCUUUGUGGCACUGAGCACUUGUUUCCAACAAGUGUGACAGCACAAUUUAUUUGCAAAAUAAAACCAGAUUUGGGAUGACA